rnacentral:rRNA from 1 species
AUUGAACGCUGGCGGCAGGCCUAACACAUGCAAGUCGAACGAGUGGCGGACGGGUGAGUAAUGUCUGGGAAACUGCCUGAUGGAGGGGGAUAACUACUGGAAACGGUAGCUAAUACCGCAUACCAUCAGAUGUGCCCAGAUGGGAUUGGCUUUGUGGGGGGGUAAAGGCUCACCAAGGCGACGAUCCCUAGCUGGUCUGAGAGGAUGACCAGCCACACUGGAACCGAGACACGGGCCCGACGCCUACGGGGAGCAGGAGGGGGGGAUAUUGGACAAUGGGCGGAAGGCUGAAGCCGCCAUGCCGCGGGUUUGAAGAAGGGCUUCGGGUUUUAAAGUUCCUUUAGCGGGGAGGCGUUACCCGCAGAAGAAGCCCCGGCUUACUCCGUGCCAACCGCCGCGGUAAUUA